UACGUAGGGGGCAAGCGUUGUCCGGAUUCAUUGGGCGUAAAGAGCGUGUAGGCGGCCAGGUAGGUCGGUUGUGAAAACUGGAGGCUCAACCUUCAGAGGUCGACCGAAACCAUCUGGCUAGAGUCCGGGAGAGGAGAGUGGAAUUCCUGGUGUAGCGGUGAAAUGCGUAGAUAUCAAGAGGAACACCUGCGGCGAAGGCGGGUUGCUGGGCCGACACUGACGCUGAGGCGCGAAAGCCAGGGGAGCGAACGGG
rnacentral:rRNA from 1 species